AAAUGAAUUAAGGGGCAACCCUUAACUGGCCGAUUGGGGAAAAACCGAGAGGUUCAAGCCCAGGGGGCAGAAAACUCUACAAAGCAGCGCUAAACAUGUGGAGUGGAAGGCAUGGCGGUAGCGCGUACAACGACGUGCCAA
ncrna:unclassified sequences IMES-2 RNA motif